AUUUAAAUAGUGUAUUUCAACACUUAACAUUUUCAUUGUUAAAAUUCCCAUGGAUUUAAAUA
rnacentral:tRNA from 1 species